ACCAAGUUUAAUUCUUUCUGGGAACUUGGGGUUAUUAUAGACUAUUUCAUACAACUAAAUGGUAAACAGGUUUUAGGUGACUGCACAUACAGUAUAAGACAGACGAAGAGUACAAAAGAGAAAAAUAAAGAGAAAAGCAGGUAUAUAGCUCCUGCAGUAAACAUCAUGCAGCGUGAACUCUGCCCUUUUGGCAGGCAAUCUUGAACCAGACCGUUUAUACAUUACAAACCUUACUAUGUUAACAUGUUGUAUAAGAGUUUUAUGUUUAAUAAUAACCCUGAAAUUACAUGAAAGAGUUUAAAAAGUGGAAAAUAACUGGGCUGAUACACAUUAAAAGGCAUUAUAGGGAUCUGUUAUGAUUAAUCUAUUACGUUUUUUUUUUUUUUUUUUGGAUGUACGUAUUUAAAUAUUUUAAAUUAAGUGUGCAGUAAACUCUGUUGCCAUGAAACUCCUGCUGGCACCAUUCAUUUCAUAUUCGUUUCUGGCUGUCCUUAAGGUGGCGUAAACAGAAGUUGGUCAUGUGACGUUCAGACCUCUAUAUACCCCCCAGACAGACUUUAGACCAGUGGUCACCAUCAGUGGCAGCCAGUGACUUCUCUUUUGAGCUUUAUCAUGGCUGCUCUAGCAUGAAGAGGAAUAGGUGGGAGGGGUCCCUUUCUCUUGGCGAGUGACAUGGAGUCUUCAUCAGAGGAGAGAGUCUGUGAAGAGUCACACGCCUGACUGGGCAUUGUGUGAGAAACUGCAGGAUUGAUCCACGGGAGCGUUUCCUCUGAAUCAACAUGGUGUGGAGGUUCAGAUUCACCACUGAAAGUCUUACCAUUGCUUGUAAGCUGGAUUGGGUAAAAUGGAUCAUCUUUAAAGGAACCAGAUUACCUGAGUGUCCUUGCACUUUUCAGGAGUUAAGGUAGAUGUGGAGGCACAACGGGUGAUACCAGACACACCCAAGCACAUUAUGUUCGGACAUUCAAUCAUGACAUGAUCCAUGUGGAUGCUGUCCAUUGAGGAAAGAGUUUGUUCAGCGAUUUCUGGCAAGAAACAUGUGCAUAUCAGCAUGCUGUGAUGUGAGCCUUGUGUGAUGUGGACUACAUAGGUUACCUGAGGCACUGAAAAUGCAAUCAGGUGCACAGCACACAGCAGAGAGACAAAGAUACUUCCUUGC